AUUGGGUGUGAGUUGGAAAACAUACCUUUGUAACUUUUCUAUAAAUCUAAAAUUAUUCCAAAAAAUUUUUAUUAAAAAGAAUCAGAUCAUGACUUCUAACUAAAGAAAACUAAGAAAGUGGGUCUGACAGAUUUGGAUUUAGGGUAGUCUUGGAGUAUAAUAUUCUUGGGUCCAGGAGAUGCAGAAUACUGGCUUUUACUCCUUAGAAGAUAACUCAAAACGCAGGGACAUAUUCGUGUUUGCAGUGCUUUAAAGCUUGACGCGAAUGUAGCCACUAACAAAGCAUAUCUCCCUCUCAAGCUCUCAUGGACUCUCUUCUAAUUGCCCAGUGAAAGAGCAGCAUCAAGAUGCUUGGGCAACAGCUAAUCGUUUCAACUUACGUGUGGUGGUUGAAAAUGAUCUGUUGCUAUCCUGACAACUUGCAGCAAAGUGCAUCACUACAUAUUUGUUAA
rnacentral:lncRNA from 1 species